rnacentral:rRNA from 1 species
GUGCCAGCCGCUGCGGUAAUACGGAGGGUGCAAGCGUUAUCCGGAUUCACUGGGUUUAAAGGGUGCGUAGGCGGGCAGGUAAGUCAGUGGUGAAAUCCUGGAGCUUAACUCCAGAACUGCCAUUGAUACUAUCUGUCUUGAAUAUUGUGGAGGUAAGCGGAAUAUGUCAUGUAGCGGUGAAAUGCUUAGAUAUGACAUAGAACACCUAUUGCGAAGGCAGCUUACUACGCAUAUAUUGACGCUGAGGCACGAAAGCGUGGGAUCAAACAGGAUUAGAUACCCUGGUAGUCCACGCCCUAAACGAUGAUUACUCGACAUUAGCGAUACACUGUUAGUGUCUGAGCGAAAGC